GGGAGCCUUCAAAGAAACUCAACCUUCCGUUCAGAUCCCCAAUGAGGAAUAAAAUAUGUCCAAUUCACCUUAAAUCAUAUUGAACAUGUAGGCUUAGCAUGUGGAUGCUAUCUUUAGCUUUGAUCACUUCAUAUCCCAUUCGAAUCCGCACGAGGUUGAGGAAGCAUAUCAAUUGUUAACAAUAUUCUCAUAAGCCAGGCUGGAAAUAAAGUUGAUGGCCUAGAAAUCAUGAGAAAAUAUCUAAAGGUAAAAUAGUUUUUUUUAUUUAUUUUGGUUUUGUUCUGCUACUUUCGCAGAAGUGAAGAGUUCUUCAAAAUUGGAAGAAUCUAAUUCCAAAAACUUAAUUUUGCCCAAAUUGGCUCAAAAAAUCAAAAUCGUUCUAUUUUAAUCACAUUGCACCCAAUCGAGCUCUGAAAAUAGGAAAGUGAUGUGGAAAAAAUCGGUGUAUCUUAAAAUGAACGCAUGAAAAUUAUUGAAUGUAAGCAUUUCUUGCCUUUUUGGGUGAGUUAAAUUCAUAAACGCGAAUGAUUUAUUUAGAUUGAUAGCCAGCCAUUUUUAAAACUUCAUUUCUUGAGAAAUUAAUGACAAAAUGAUUCCACAAAUGGUCGCAACAAUGAAAUCAACAUUCAGAUUCGUCCCAUAGUCAUCCAUUUAAUUGGAAUACAUUAAAAAUCGGAAAUAAUAGCAUCGGAUAUAAGAGCAGGAUUGUGAAUCCCCGAAUCAAAUUAUAUAGUAAAUAUAGUAAAGUAGCAUCGGAUAUAACAACAGAAUUGAAGGCGGCAAAAUAUUUCUUUGUAUUUCCCGCGCUCAACAUUGAAGUUUUCAAUGGAAACUGGUUAAGCCAUUUUAUAAAAGAAAGUUUUCAGCCGCUUUCUCACAAAAACAAACAGUCAUAAAUAAUGGCGUCUGCCAAAAGAACCACUUUUUCCAUCAAGGAGAGGCAAAAGCUCCUUGCCAAUUUUGAAAAGCUGUCCAAGAUAAGCCUGACCAAAGUUGUUGCAAAGUUAGGAGUCAAACGUGCUUCCUUUGGAAAACUCUUGUUUUUGUUUUCAAACUUCAUAGCCAGUAUGUAAUUCUGUGACAAAUUACCUACGUAUUUGGUGCACAAAUAAACAUAUAGUCAACACACUGCCCUCCUUACAUUUUAUUUCAUUUUUCUCGAUUUUGAUGGUUGCAUUUUGUUUGGACCGUAAAACUACAUCAAAUUAUAGUUUAUAAAUAUGUUUUCUGUCAACAGUUUUGCCUCUGGAGCCGUGGAACUGGAGCAUCGGAUAUAAGAGCACAUCGGAUAUAAGAGCAGAAAUUCACGGCCCCAAAGCUGCUCGUACAUCCGAUUUUUACUGUAACACCAACAAAGUCUGAAUCAAGCAGUAAAUACACUACUCAAAGGCCCUAAUCAACCGGUAACUAUUGUAAUCAUGGAAUUUGCGUCCUUUUGGCAACGGGAAGCAAGUCUCAACGAGCGCAGCUCCAUCCGAGCCAAUGAGAACUCCCGAGUGAGGGAACAAGGGAUGGCGGAGAAUGAGGAGAAUGCGGGUUUGAGUUACUCCUGGAUUCCUGUUCCUGUCUGUUUCAACGAGAUGUGUUCCUCUGUUGUUUUGGAAACUAAAGUUGAGGAGGAACACAAAUAGCCGGAGCCGCAGGAGCCGCAAGUCAAGACCACCACCACCACUUGGCUGGAAGUCGUAGAUGUUCACUAUGACAAGGAGAGCGAAAAGGACGAAACUCAGAAAAUAAGGUUUAGUCAGACUGAGCAUUUGAACCUUAACCUAUCUUUGGGGCCACAAUGAAUCAAUGGAAUAUGAGCCCCAGGAUCACCAGAAGUUCCUGGCUCAUGACGAGGCCCUGGAUCACGAUGAGGCCCUGGAUAACGGCGCGGCCCUGGCUCACAACGAGGCUCUAGAUCACGACAAGGCCCAAGGCCCUGGAUCACGGCGAGGCCGAGGAACUCACCAGUUUCUGGACCAUGCCCUCAAAGAGAGUCCUGGCAUCAAUGAACCGCUUGACAAAAUUAGCCGCAUUGAAAACCCCAUCGAAGAUGAGCCUCUCUUUCAAGAUGAGACUAUUCGUUCAUCUGUGUUAGUUUUGCGACCUUCGCAACGGCUAUUUAAUUUUUUUAAGUAUGUUGGAAAGUCAUUGGCAGCUUGCCGAAUAUGUACGAUACAAAACCACAAACAAAGCAACCACCUCUUUGUGGCGUCAUAGGAAGCAAAGCCAUCCUCUUGAGUGGGACAAGAUGCAAGAUCGAUCAAAUUCCAAUUCAAGCAUGUCGUUGGUUGAAGAAGCAUGUGCAGGGACUUCCAAAUCGACAUUGGAUACUGCUCAAGUGAAGAUGAUUUGCGAAGAUAUUCAGCCCAUAUCUUAUUGUCGAGGAUGUGGGGUUCAUUAAGUUUUACCAAAGCAUGAACCCAACAUAUGUUUUGCCUUCCAGGCAGACAAUAUCGCAGUCUCUUCUUCUGACAAUUUUUAAUGAAGUGCAAGGCAAGUUAAGUUGGCCAUGAAGUUGGAGAAAGUGAAUUGGGUCAGCAUUACAACAGAUCUCUGGACGUCUUGACGCACUAUUACUACAAGCAGCUACAUGUCGAGAGAGUGGUAGCUGACCAAAACUGGAAGAUAUGCAACGACCAAAUCAUAUAAUUUCUCGGUUUGAACAUGUUGGAAGAUUUUUUACCAAGUAGGAAAUGUUUCCUGGACGACAUCAUCCUCACCCAAGGUCAUCCUCACCAGACUUUCGAACCAAUGUGGCCAUUUCCAGCGAAUAUAAACCAUAAGUCACUUGAUCCAUGAUGAUUUAUCGUAAAGAAACAUGAAUCUAUUGUGGUUUAUUUUGGCACGGGAGAACACCCACCCACAACCCAAGAUUAUGAAGGGGCCUGAAAUUGUCAAUUAAGGAACAAAGUGAUCAGAUGUCAUCCAACCCUCGAUUAAUUCGGUGGUCACACUCCGAUCGAUGAUUGUUAGUAAUCGAUCGACGAUAAACGGACUGAACUAAUUGAAGUUGUAUCAGAUCAUCAGAGACAACGGAAUCAUCGGCCCGUAGAGGUUCUUGGCCGCUGAUAAGUUGUGGCGAUUCAGCCCUCGGCCAGCACACAUGGACAUCUAGUUGAAACUGACUAACGCAAGAGAAGUCGAUCAGCGGGACACCCUGCUGCCCAAAUACCAAAAUGUGUUCAAAGCAAAGUCUAAAGUGACAAGCCCUCUAGACAUGAUCGAUUUGCUGCACCCUUGAGACCCAAGCAUCAAGACCAGCUAGACACUUUUAGCUGUUAAAAGCCAGAGCAGUUAUUUCUGACCGGAUUGAGUCCUACCCACUGACUCAUUAACUUAAUGCCGCCAAUGACCAUCACCGUGCCUGUCAAAUGACGUCUGUACUUGUGGGCGGGUCCUUAUUUGUGCCUGAAAACUAAACAUAUUUUAGUCAAUGCCAUGUGUAUUUCAUCAUAUCAAUUUCCAAUCAGCACAACAGAAAUAUUGAAUGACCUCAAGACCCAUUGGGAAAUGAUACAAUCACUUGCAAGUUCAUCUGAUUAGAAAUCGAAGUCAAAAUGUUUGUCAAACUAUUUUGAUUGCAGGGUUUCACGUGUAGACGGCUCAGAGAAGAAUUGUUUGUCAAAUAUAUAAUAUGAACCUUCAUGGAUCGAGUGCGUUAAGGCUAAUAAUCGCUGCAAAUGGACACCAUGCUUCAAAUGUCUGGUGAGGAUGCUGUCGUCCAUGAAACUUUUCCUAUUGGGCGAACAAUCUUUGAACAUGUUCAAAGCGAGAAAUGUUUGUGAUAUGGCCAACAAUGUUUGUGAAAUGGCUAAUUAUUUGCCGAAUUAUUUGUCGUCUAGACGCACGCACCAUUAGCUCAAUCGGUCUGCCUCAACACACGCUGAAUGUCGAUCUCCUCUUCCCUACCUGGGCCAUCAAGAUAACUAAAAAGUAUCUGUGAAGCCUUGUUUCAAAUACUUCUCAUUAGUAUUGGUGCGAGAUUGCCAAAUUUGAAUCUCCCGCCAAUCGAGUUUCCUGCCAUGUUUUCCCGCCAGAAAAGAGACGCCAACUGAUUCGAAAAAAGAACUUUGAACCGUGACAUGCCCUCACCUUGCCACGUGCUCUCUGUAUUUGCUAAAAUGAUUGCCCUGGCCUGGUUAUUACUGUGUGUUUUUGAAUAAUAAUCCCUCGAAGCUUUA